rnacentral:lncRNA from 1 species
CCGGCUAAUUUUUUUUGUAUUUUUUUAGUAGAGAUGGGGUUUCACCAUGUUGGCCAGGCUGGUCUUGAACUCCUGACCUCAAGUGAUCCACCCGCCUCAGCCUCCCAAAGUGCUGAGAUUACAGGUGUGAGCCAUUGCACCCUGCCCUCUUCCUUGCUUUUUAAUACUUGCAUUUAAAGCUAUAACUUUCCCUCUAAGUACUGCUUUAGGUUCAUCCUAUAUUUUUUAUAUGCUAUGCAUUCAUCAUUAUUUGAUUCUAAUUUCUAAUUUUCAAUAUGAUUUCUUCCAAUUCAUAAGCUAUUUAAAGUGUUGAAUUUUCAAAUACAUUUGCAGGGUUGACUGUCUUUCUGUAAUUGAUUUUUAGUGCUGUUUCACUGUGGUCAGAGACUGUGCUCUGCGUGGGAUUGGCUAUUUUGGUGUUUCUUGAGGCCACUUUUGUUGCUUAGCAACUGAUCAGAAUGUGCUGAUUGUUGGGUGUUCUGUGACUGUUUAUUAGGUCAAGUAUGUAAACUGGGUUGCUUAAAUUUUCUGUGUCCUUGCUAAUCUUUAUUUUCCCUGCUUAAUCUAUCAAUUACUGAACGAAGGUAUGUGAACUUUUCCAUUAUUAUAUGGAUUUUAAAAUUUCUCUUUAUAAAUCUAUCAGUUUUUGAUUUUUCUGUUUUAAGACUAUAUUGUUAGAAACAUACAGAUUCUGGAUUUUAAAAAUAUCUUUAUGGUGAAUUUUCAUUGUCAUAUAUGAUAGAAAUUGUUCCCAUGAUCACAUGAUAACCUCUUUCACCCUA